rnacentral:misc_RNA from 1 species
GAUGAAGAACGCAGCGAAAUGCGAUAAGUAAUGUGAAUUGCAGAAUUCAGUGAAUCAUCGACUCUUUGAACGCACAUUGCGCCCCCUGGUAUUCCGGGGGGCAUGCCUGUCCGAGCGUCAUUACAACCCUCAAGCUCAGCUUGGUGUUGGGCCCCGCCGCCCCGGCGGGCCCUAAAGUCAGUGGCGGUGCCGUCCGGCUCCGAGCGUAGUAAUUCUUCUCGCUCUGGAGGUCCGGUCGUGUGCUCGCCAGCAACCCCCAAUUUUUUUCAGGUUGACCUCGGAUCAGGUAGGGAUACCCGCUGAACUUAAGCAUAUCAAUAAGCGGAGGA